GGUAUCAAGACUUUAGCAUAAUUAUAAAUAAAAAAGCAUUUCUCUGCUGCCCUCCACCUCAAGUAAAGAUAGUUUCAUUUUCAUGUACUCCCAGUAACACCUGAAAUUUGGCAUGAUGCAUUUAAAAUGUCUGUGUUGAUGCCAAGAAAAUGCUAGAGGAAAAACAAUAGUAUAGCAGAGCUUGUCUUUGCUUUUAGGGUUUAUAGCAAGCCAGUAAUGAUGUAACAAUUGGAGAACGUUCUGUGGUCCACACUGUAGAAACCUUAGAAACAUGCAGGCCUGAAUGAAAGUUGCUGGACACUUAUCUGCCAUCGGAUAUAAUUAAUAAAAUGAGAGGGGAGACUUCAAGGGAUUUUACUCUGACAUCUUCUGGACUUCUAUUUGUUGCACGUCUGAAUGUCUGAUGCCAAGUCUUUGUGGUCUACCAGCAAACCUUGGAUUAAAUGAGGAACUGCCUCUUAUAUGAAGAAGACGCACAAAGUAGUGUGGAGCUGCUGGGGACAAAGCCUGAAGUUGACAUCAUCCUUCAAUUCUCAUCAAUAGAAGUAAAUGAAAAUACUCAAAUGACAACAUGGAGAAACACUGAAGGCAGUCAAAGUAAAACACGCCAUUCUGAUAGUGUGCAACAGUACUCUGGAGGAUGCUCAGUUCAGCUUUCUUGUGAAAUAAAGAUGACCCAAACAUGUACAGAGACUCAAAACUUCAAAAAGUCAUACACUUGA
rnacentral:lncRNA from 1 species